AUUGAACGCUGGCGGCAGGACUAACACAUGCAAGUCGAGCGAGCGGCGGACGGGUGAGUACUGUCUGGGAAACUGCCUGAUGGAGGGGGAUAACUACGGGAAACGGUAGCUAAUACCGCAUACCAUCAGAUGUGCCCAGGGGGGAUUAGCUAGUAGGUGGGGUAACGGGUCACCUAGGCGAGCAUCCCUAGCCGGUCUGAGAGGAUGACCAGCCACACUGGAACUGUGACACGGGCCAGACUCCGACGGGAGGCAGCAGUGGGGAAUAUUGCACAAUGGGCGCAAGCCUGAUGCAGCCAUGCCGCGUGUGUGAAGAAGGCCUUCGGGUUGUAAAGCACUGUCAGCGGGGAGGCGUUACCCGCAGAAGAAGCACCGGCUAACUCCGUGCCAGCAGCCGCGGUAAUUC
rnacentral:rRNA from 1 species